rnacentral:rRNA from 1 species
UGCCAGCAGCCGCGGUAAUACGGAGGGUGCAAGCGUUAUCCGGAUUUAUUAGGUUUAAAGGGUCCGUAGGCGGAAAUUUAAGUCAGUGGUGAAAGCCCAUAGCUCAACUAUGGAACUGCCAUUGAUACUGAAUUUCUUGAAUAUGAUUGAAGUGGGCGGAAUAUGUCAUGUAGCGGUGAAAUGCAUAGAUAUGACAUGGAACACCAAUUGCGAAGGCAGCUCACUAAACUAUUACUGACGCUCAUGAACGAAAGCAUGGGGAGCGAACAGGAUUAGAUA